rnacentral:rRNA from 1 species
UACAGAGGAGCCAAGCGUUGUCCGGAUUGACUGGGCGUAAAGCGCACGCAGGCGGCUGCGCGCGUGGGGUGUGAAAUCUGGCCGCUUAACGGCCAGGCGCCAUCCCAUACGGCGCGGCUUGAGCCUUGCAGAGGGCGGUGGAAUUGCCGGUGUAGUGGUGAAAUGCGUAGAGAUCGGCAGGAACACCCAGGGGGAAACCAGCCGCCUGGGCAAGCGCUGACGCUGAGGUGCGAGAGCGUGGGGAGCGAGCCGG